AAAAAAAAAAGUUGUUUCGCGUAAUUUUUUUUCCUUCUCAUUUCUCUCUCUCUUACUCGACUUUUGGCGAUAAAAAUGAGGCUUUGCGAAUCUCUUCAAUUCUGGUGGAUUUGUUGAAUUGAGAAGAGGUGUUAAUACUAUAGAUGGCUAUAGAUGAGAAGGAACUAGAUCGGAGUAAGAGCUCAUACAAGGCACGAACCGCAUUGGAGUUGUUGAGGGAGAACAAGAACAAGUUUGAUCUUGUUAUAUGCGAUGUCGACAUGCCGGACAUGGAUGGUUUCAAGCUGCUUGAGCUUGUUGGUCUUGAAAUGGACUUACCUGUCAAUGUCAUAAGUAUGAAGCUUUCCUUGUUUUAGCUCUGUUUGAUUCCAUCAAACUUUUCAUAGUUCCUAGAGAAAGUUUUGAUCUUUAGACAGACUUGAAUUUGGUUCUUUAACAUGAUUCCUUGUAUUUGAAGAUAUUGUUUUGUAAAAAUUUGAAUUUUUUUUCUAAGAUACUCUCUUUAUUCUUAACCAUUGGA